rnacentral:rRNA from 1 species
AGACCUUAACCUGCUAAAUAGCCAGGCUAGCUUUGGCUGGUCGCCGGCUUCUUAGAGGGACUAUCGGCUCAAGCCGAUGGAAGUUUGAGGCAAUAACAGGUUAACCGUCACAGGCCUGUUACAGUGGGCCUCACUAAAGAUAACUACUAGUCUACGAUCUUAAUCUCCUUGGGGAAGUCCCCAACUAUCGGGAGGAGACAGGCAUGACCUGUGACGUAGGCAACACCACCUGGUACAGGGAAAGCC